rnacentral:tRNA from 1 species
UGAUCCGUAGUUCAACGGUUAGAAUAGGACACUCAUAAUGUCUUGAUCACAGUUCGAUUCUGUGCGGAUCAA